rnacentral:rRNA from 1 species
ACGUAGGAGGCGAGCGUUAUCCGGAUUCAUUGGGCGUAAAGGGCAAGUAGGCGGUAUGCCAAGUUGGUUGUGACAUCUCCCGGCUCAACUGGGAGGGUGCGGCCAAAACUGGCAAACUAGAGGGCAGAAGAGGGGAGUGGAAUUCCUGGUGUAGCGGUGGAAUGCUCAGAUACCAGGAGGAACACCAGUGGCGAAGGCGACUUUCUGGUCUGCACCUGACGCUGAGAGGCGAAAGCUAGGGUAGCGAACGGGCUUAGAUACCCCGGUAGUCCCU